rnacentral:rRNA from 1 species
GAUGAACGCUAGCGGCAGGCUUAACACAUGCAAGUCGAGGGGUAUAGUUCUUCGGAACUAGAGACCGGCGCACGGGUGCGUAACGCGUAUGCAAUCUACCUUUUGCAGAGGGAUAGCCCAGAGAAAUUUGGAUUAAUACCUCAUAGUAUGUGAGAAUGGCAUCAUUUUCACAUUAAAGUCACAACGGCAAAAGAUGAGCAUGCGUCCCAUUAGCUUGUUGGUAAGGUAACGGCUUACCAAGGAAACGAUGGGUAGGGGUCCUGAGAGGGAGAUCCCCCACAAUGGUACGGAGACACGGACCAGACUCCUACGGGAGGCAGCAGUGAGGAAUAUUGGACAAUGGGCGCAAGCCUGAUCCAGCCAUGCCGCGUGCAGGAUGACGGUCCUAUGGAUUGUAAACUGCUUUUGUACAGGAAGAAACACUGGUUCGUGAACCAGCUUGACGGUACUGUAAGAAUAAGGAUCGGCUAACUCCGUGCCAGCAGCCGCGGUAAGAC